rnacentral:tRNA from 1 species
AGUCUUAUAUUCAAUAAUGAUAUAAAAUUGCAAAUUUUAUGGUGUAAGUAAAUACUAAGGCUU